UACGGAGGGUGCAAGCGUUAUCCGGAUUUACUGGGUUUAAAGGGUGCGUAGGUGGGUCGGUAAGUCAGUGGUGAAAUACUUUCGCUUAACGAAGGAACUGCCAUUGAUACUACCAGUCUUGAAUACAGUGGAGGUAGGCGGAAUGCGUCAUGUAGCGGUGAAAUGCUUAGAUAUGACGCAGAACACCAAUUGCGAAGGCAGCUUGCUACACUGUUAUUGACACUGAGGCACGAAAGCGUGGGGAUCAAACAGG
rnacentral:rRNA from 1 species